rnacentral:lncRNA from 1 species
UUGGUUAACCCCGCUGGUGGUGGUGCCUGCAUUCUUUUGGUCUUUUUCAUAGAAGAGAGUAUAACCAAAACAACAAUAUAUUUGUUUUUACUAGUUCUUUAAGUUUUACAUAGAAAGAUAAAGUUUGGGUAUUUACAAUUUUUUUCUUUACUAAAUGCAGUUCUAAAGCUAUGAAUGCUUUAUUCUUAAACCUCUUAUUGAUAAAUUAUUUGCAAGUUUACAGUGUAGUAGGUUAUUAUUAUUGGUGAUGUUGUUUACAUAUAGUGUUUUGGUGGAAAUGCAAAAUUUCAAAUUCAAAAGGGGGAAAAAACACCACCUUAACACUGGCGAGACCUGGAAAUCACCUUAACUAAGCAAUACAAUUAGCAUCGCUAAUAGUGGGACAACAUGACGUGUUGAUCCAUGCAUGUGAUGCAAUAUGAACUACACAGCACUAGCUAUUAAAUAUUAUGGCCAAAAAUGUUUCAAAUAAAUCCAGUUAAGCUUAUAAAUUUAUUUUCUAAUUUACAGAAAUACUGAAGACAGAGAUCCUGGCAAAACAAUACCUACCACAAGGAAACAGGAAUGAAGAAGGAAAUUGAGAAUGCCGGACCUUCUAAAACCUUAAGCAUGGGCCUCAGGCCUACAGCAUCCCGUGGAAGUUUAGUAGGUUUGCACAAUUUCAGACCUCAUGCUGGACUGACCAAAUGAGAAUCUACAUAUUAACAGAUUCCUAGGCUCCCUCUGUGUUUACCAAUACAGGUAAUACAAGGUACUUGGUUGUGCAGAGCAACAUGGUGAGGUGUGGUCUCAGCUCCAGCUCAGCCUCUAGGCUCUCUCCCCUUCACUCUCACCCUAGUCUUCCUGUUCACACACAUCCACUGAAUUCCUGGGCAAAGAUGAAGGCAGGGAGUAAAACGAUCAAGAAGUAUUUCAAAUCAAUAGUGUUCAACUUUAGCUUUUGA